CAACGGUUGUACGCCCGGUCGUAGCUAAGAUUUGGUCGUACGACCGAUCUUACGGCUACGUCACGUUUUAUCAACAUGGUCGUAGCUAAGACGUCUUAGAUGAAUGUCGUAACUUUAAGGCUGCUUCAGACCAGUCGUAAGUAGGCUAAAGAUCUUAAAAAUGGCGGCCAUUUUUGCAUAAUUCCCGAUAGGAACUUUCAAACACAAAUAUUUGAACAAUUGAAGUUUUCAACUAACUUAGGUUUUCCGCGUACAUGUUUAUGUACAGUGCUGAUUCUAUUUUAACAUCCCAGGGACGCAACUAUCACUUCCAGAUUAAUAUCCGGAUAAUUUCCACGAAGAAGCUAUGACCUUUCAAUGAAGUUGCUACAGUAUCUAUGUGAAAGACAAGUGUUAAUAAUGUGAAAUCAACAUGGCAACAUUAUGUUAACCUACAGUACAGUGCUGUAAUGGGAAUGCAAAUGAAACUGCAGCACUGUUGUUUGGUAAAGCAUGUACAUGUAUGCGAAAUGAGCAUCUUUAGAUCCAAUUUGGUGUAUCACAUGAAAAGAGGAUUGUAAACAAAGGACAAGUAACUUGUGCAGACAGAUAUAAGGCAGCAUGAAUAGUUAGUACUUGGUGCAUCUGCUGAUCAAUGUAUUUAUCAAAGAGGACAUUAACAAUGAUGAGGCUGUAUAUCACCAGGAUUACUGCUGAAUGAUGGAAGGUUUACAGCUAAACAAUCUUAUGAUUGGAAUCAAUAUCCAUGGACAGCUCUCCCUUACAGGGUCCAAGUGUUGUGACCUUGUUAUAUGGCCAACAAAGGGCAUAUAAGUCCUAAAGAUAGUUAAGAAUAAAGUUAUAUAGACUAUCAAACAUUUCAUCAAUUUACCAAUAUCUGUAAGAUAAGGUACAUUAUGUAUAAUUUAAUACAUUCCAUAAUAACUUUGUUUCUACAUGCACAUGAAUAAAAAUAACACUUAAGUAUGGUCACAAAGGGACAGUCAGUGAUCUACAAUUAUUACCCUGAAUGCAUGUAAGAAGCUUUAUGUGAAUGCUUUUAAUGAUUAAUGAAAAAAUAUACAUAGGUUAGGUCUUUAAGUUGUUUUUG